rnacentral:rRNA from 1 species
AUACGGGAGGCAGCAGUGGGGAAUUUUGGACAAUGGGCGCAAGCCUGAUCCAGCCAUGCCGCGUGAGUGAAGAAGGCCUUCGGGUUGUAAAGCUCUUUCGGCUGGGAAGAAAUCGCAUCUCCUAAUACGGGGUGUGGAUGACGGUACCAGCAUAAGAAGCACCGGCUAACUACGUGCCAGCAGCCGCGGUAAUACGUAGGGUGCGAGCGUUAAUCGGAAUUACUGGGCGUAAAGCGUGCGCAGGCGGUUUCGUAAGACAGAGGUGAAAUCCCCGGGCUCAACCUGGGAACUGCCUUUGUGACUGCGAGGCUAGAGUAUGGCAGAGGGGGGUGGAAUUCCACGUGUAGCAGUGAAAUGCGUAGAGAUGUGGAGGAACACCGAUGGCGAAGGCAGCCCCCUGGGCCAAUACUGACGCUCAUGCACGAAAGCGUGGGGAGCAAACAGGAUUAGAUACCCCGGUAGU